rnacentral:miRNA from 1 species
UCGGGCCACCAACAGUCCAGGUUUUGUCAGUAUCUCCAUUUGAAUAAAAAAGGGAAAUGCAUAAAUCCUGGACUGUUGGUGGUCCGUAAGGACU